AGGGUGACGCGACAGGUCGUCUGCUCGGCGUCGGAGCUCUGCUAAUAACUAGGUACUUCACGUCACAACAAACCCGACGACGAGAUCAGAAAUUUCAAUCCUGUGGAACCUAACCUAAUCUGCACUAAGGACCAGAAAUCGAGCAAGGAGAUAAUACAUUUGCACUGACUCUUGAAGUUUGCAUAGUAUGAUUUUGAAACGCAGAAGUAACUGUUCACGCAUAGCCCAGCACAAAUAAGGACUUGGACUGCUGUUUCUGCAUGUGCAACUACAAGCCUACAAGAAGUACAGCAUGACAACCGAACGUAGACAGCACUAAAAAGCCUCCUUCAACCACGGCAAUCUAUUUGUGGCAAAGCACUGCAGGGCAACGCUGUCACAUAUUUGAUGAAGGUUGUUCAAAAUGUAACUGUUUGACUAGCUAUGUAACGUGAUGUAUAUUUACUGAUACUUAUGAAAUAAAGAAUACUUGAUCUCCAUUUA